CACAUUAUUAACUUUCAUUUCCAAAAUAUAUGCCAAGAAAGCACAAUCACAAAUUAAACUCCCACCAUAACGGCAAAUAUCAAACAAAUAUUUGAUAUACAUCUCAAUAACUACGCCGUGAUUCACUCUCACAUAAUAUAACAUGUCACCAAUAAAUUGACAAACACAUCCCCGACCUUAAUAACAAACGCAAAAAAGGAAAAAAAACUCACAAUGUCCCAUUCUCUUUGGCUAUCUCUAUAUUGUACUUGAAAUAUUGGAUACACUCGAAUGGAAAACAGAUAAAACUCGCAUCGAAGUCGCUUCUAUAAAUGCUGGAAACGGACCAAAAGUUAUAUUCAUGGAGUGAGAGUCACCUGACUAGAUUGCUAUCUGACCAAUUAUAGAUGCAGAAGAAAAACAAUAAUAUGUCAAUGAUCCAACAUAAAUAAUUGAUGUGACACAUGAUAUGAUGCUACCACUAUAAGUAAAUGACAAAAUUUAUUUCUGUAUUUGAGUGAAAUAUAAUUAAAAAAAAUUCUAGAAUACCUUUUCCCUUCUGCUAACAAAACAAAUUCUGACUAACACCAAACAAAAAAAUUCGAGAAGAUAAAACAUGCUAGAUUAGCCAAAGGCAAUGUGAUUUUCAUAUUUGGUUCAGAAUUUUUUUGAAUAAAAACAUUGUUAGAAACACAUUCAUAAUCCCGGAUGUAAUACAUUCAUAUUAACUAAAAUCAAACAUAAAACUUUAACACACAAUUAAAAAAUAUAUUAAAAUACUACACAUAUAGUCUCAUGUAAGUGCAAAAAAAAGAUAAAAUAUUUCUAUUAAAAUAAUAUAACUGAAACGAAUACUGAUAAUUGAAUAGUAUAAUGUCAUAAAAUAUAGUUGAUAACAAAUAAAAAUCUAAACACGUAAAAAUUAUAAAAAAAUAUCAGAUGUUAACAAAAUAAAUAUAUGUAUAUAUAUUAGCAAACUACAAACAAAUUAUAUUAAUUAUAUUUAAUUUAAAGAAUUUUUCAAAUGUUUUAUACAACAAAAGUACAUUUUAAUAUAAAAUAAUUUCAAUGCAAACUCACCCGCCCCUAGGGCGGACUAACCCCUAGUAUUAUCUAUAAAUCAUUAUUUUAGUGAUUGGCCUAUACAAGAUAGACAAAUCAGGUAUUUCCAGUUUGAGAUUAAUAUUGUAUAUCAAUAGGUGGUUAAAGAUAGCAAGGAGAAAAAAAAUUAUUACAUAAAAUAAAGCGGAUCUUUCUCUCUUCUGACGAAGCUCCGCCAUCACCGUGUCUCCGCUCUCAGCUGCCCACCAGCAUCUCAUCCGACGUCGGCUUCUCAGCCAUCUUGCUGCUCCGAAUCCGUGAAGCUGAUGAAGAAAAAAAAAGCCCAAAUCAUCUUCUGGUGUGCAGUCUACCCCGAAGACCUAUUCUUUGGGGAAAGCUAUCUCCGUUCGCUCAAUUUUUCCAGAUCCGUCUACCUCGUUCUCAAAGGUUGCUUGCGAUAUCCUAUUAAACAUGCUUGCUGACCCAGUAGCUCAGCAAUACCUAGGACAAAAUUAUUUGGUUACCCCUCCCACGGAUUCUCCUUCAAAAAAGAUAGCGAUCGCCAAUAUAGUAGCAAAUCCAUCUUCGCAAAGCACCAUCGAGGUGCUAAAACUUAGCUUCUGCUGAUGCCAAGAUAGAAUCUUUGAGCUCGCGGCACUAUUGUGGACUAUGCUCCAUAGCUCGACUCACACAAAAUUUCUACUCAGUUGGAUGCUCAACCGUCAACAAACAGUCGCUCUAAAUCUCAUUGGUUCUAGAAGCAAGGAAGACUCCUUGAAUUUCUCAGCCAAGCAGAACAAGGUAUCAAGUACUAAGGAAGCUGACCCGACUGACACAUGGCGUGCUCAUGCAAAGGGGACAGGCAAGCCACUAAAUGAAUCAGGGUACGCGUUCACGUUAUUUUCAAGGGAGUCUUGGCCUAAAGCAAAGAGAUCGCAAUAUUGUAUAAUGGACGAUAAGUUAUACAAAUGUAGCCACACAGAACCUUACCUCGCUAGUGUGCACGUAUAAGAAGCCUUACCCAUCAUGAAAGAUAUGCAUGAUGGCCGAUGCGGGUUUCACUCUAGAGGUCGAACUCUCCCCCUGCGCAUUAAAAAGAAAUGAUAUUUUUGGCCAACUAUGGCCAAGGAUUGCGAGGGAUACUCCCUUAAAUGCAAAAUGACAGCUCAAUGUGCCAAUACUCCGGAUGCUAACAGAACUGUUAUCAUCUGUAUAUAAUAGGCCCGGUGGUAUAUUCAGGACCAAGGCAACUCUGAUACUUGCUUGUCUUGAUUGAUAAUUUCACCUAGUUGAUCGAGGCCGAAGCCUACCAUAAAAUGGAGAAUCUCGAUAUGCACGACUUUGUAUGGAAGGACAUUAUUUUCCGUCAUGGAAUUCUCUACGAGACUGUCACCAAUAACAGACCUCAAUUCAUUUCCAAGAAUUUGUAGCAUUGUGAAAACUCUGGAAAAUCAAACUGACGACCUCGACCUAGUACUACCCUUAAGGGAACAGACAGACCGAGGUAGCAAAUAAGUGAAUCUUAUAUAACAUUAAGAAGCGUUUAAACUAUAUAAAA